GUCCACGUCUAGAAAACAAAGGGGUUGCUGCGUGUUUGCAGAGCAGUGAGCAGGCUGCAUGAAGCCAGCUGACCCCAAAUGUUAAGGGAGGCUGCCAAGUGAGCAGGGAGCCCCAGGCUUCCGAAUAUCGAGCACUAAGCUUUAGCUCACUUCUCUGGCUAGUUGUGUAGAAGCAAGUGGGUAACCUUGGUUUUCACCUGUGGAGUGUUACUGGAGAGCUUUCCUAAGGAAAAAAUGCAUUAGGAAGACAUAAAAGCCCCACAUCCAUUCUGCUGAGAAGACUGCUCAUCAGAGCCAACAGGACACCAACAGGACGACUGGGCUGAGCUGGAAGAAACUGGCAGAGACACCUGGCUGUUCACAAGCAGGCUCUGCAGAACGAGCACCAAGGCCGUGAUGUUUGGCUGGAGACGUCUGCACCUUGCAACCAGUGGGCAGAGCUUACCUGCAGUGAUCCAGGAGCACUGACCUUGAACUAGGGAACAGCGUAGGGAAAGACUUCCUGGACCGGCAUUCACAAACUCAUGACACAUUUUCCAAGCUGAAGAAAGUCAUCUCAUGCUGCCCACCGAAGCUGCACGGGUGGGACACAGCCAAAGCCCUGCACAGCCUGGCACGGAGAUGCAUACCUAACCUCCCUUAACCAGAGGGGCACAAGUGGUGGCCCCCUGUAAUUCUGACCCAUUCUUCACACUGCAGAAGGAACCAACGUGCUGACUUCAAGAAAUGCUGUAAGGAAGCUAAAAACCCCUCUAAGGAAGGCCAUGUCUCUGCAGACCAACUUCAGGUAGUGGCAGCUCUUGCACGGCUCAGAGCGGGCAGCGUGUGUCUGCCAGCAACUCUCAUUGCAAGGACUGGCUCCUGCAGAAGAGCUCAUGAACAGACGGGACGAGGGCCAAAGGAACAUGUUCACGGGGGAAAAAAGCAGCCAAGAGAUUAAAUGAGAUGUCAGUCUCCUGCUUUUAUUACUUGUUGGUCAAAUACUUGGAGCCUUUUCCCUCUGCUAUCAAAAACCCUCUCUGGACUUGAAUUUAAAUAGCAGGAAAACAGAUUUUUCAGCUUGCUCAGUGCCUUGCAUUUACCCUCUUGUUUUACCUGAGCCGUUUAGCCAAUUACAGAGUUUAAAAGAGUGUAUUCUCUAGAUAAAGUACCAAAAGUAAUUUCAUUAAGCUUCUCCUGCAUAGUACUGAAAACCAAAUAAAACCAAAUAUUUGGCAGGGUGUACAAGAAGGGAAAAAAAGGCAAAACUGUGUAGUCAUUUUUUCUGCAAAUGCUUCCCGUGCAAAAAAAUAUGCCUUGACUCAGAGCUGAGAGCUCUCUGAUUUUACAAAGUGAACUUCCCUUCGUAUGCCUCUAAUUAACUAAACAACAUUUUGGAGAAUAAAAAUGACUUAAUAGGGUCAGAGUAUUGCCAUACACAGUGUACGGCUGGAGCAAGAACUAUCGGUUUGUGUUAGCUUUGCUGACAUUGUUUCCUUUAAUCCAUUUGGAAGGAAACAACAGAAGUAGUUGACGUUACUGGAAAGUUAUGGGUCAGACUUAGAGUGCUUCAGCAGAGAUGGGUGGUCAUUUAAGAUAUUCUGAUAUAUUAAAGUGUCUAAUAAUGCACAUAAAUAAUGUGUUAUUGGAGUGCUUUUUUUUAAAUAAUAAAAAAGUAAAACAAUGCUAGAGCCUGCCAAAACAUUCCUUCUUAUGGGAAAAAAACUUGGCCAAUCCAUAACAAGCCAACACAUCUCACAUCUAAAAUAAUCUCCCAGUAUGCAGUUAUUCUAUGAAUGUGCAAUCUCAGUAACUACCCUCCUCACAUACCUCUCU